UUGAACGCUGGCGGCAGGCCUAACACAUGCAAGUCGAGCGGAUGAAGGGAGCUUGCUCCUGGAUUCAGCGGCGGACGGGUGAGUAAUGCCUAGGAAUCUGCCUGGUAGUGGGGGAUAACGUCCGGAAACGGGCGCUAAUACCGCAUACGUCCUGAGGGAGAAAGUGGGGGAUCUUCGGACCUCACGCUAUCAGAUGAGCCUAGGUCGGAUUAGCUAGUUGGUGGGGUAAAGGCCUACCAAGGCGACGAUCCGUAACUGGUCUGAGAGGAUGAUCAGUCACACUGGAACUGAGACACGGUCCAGACUCCUACGGGAGGCAGCAGUGGGGAAUAUUGGACAAUGGGCGAAAGCCUGAUCCAGCCAUGCCGCGUGUGUGAAGAAGGUCUUCGGAUUGUAAAGCACUUUAAGUUGGGAGGAAGGGCAGUAAGUUAAUACCUUGCUGUUCUGACGUUACCAACAGAAUAAGCACCGGCUAACUUCGUG
rnacentral:rRNA from 1 species